rnacentral:lncRNA from 1 species
GUUUCUAGCAUCUAGUAGCAGCAUAUAGUAAAGAAAAACUCUAGAGAAGAGAAGAAAAAGAAGAUCAAAGAGAAAGAUCAAGUGUUAAUCGCGAUUCAGGCUUUGUUCAGAUUCAGCAGGCUGAAUUUUAGAGAAUCAAAAUUCAGAUUAUAGAAGACUGUUUCAGACUGAUCCUGAGUGGAUACUCAUAGAGACCAGAUACCUGUGUA